rnacentral:rRNA from 1 species
UACGGAGGAUCCACGCGUUAUCCGGAAUCAUUGGGUUUACAGGGUCCGUAGGCGGCCUUAUACGUCCGUGGUGAAAUCUCCCGGCUCAACCGGGAAAUGGCCAUUGAUACUGUAGGGCUUGAAUUAUUAGGAAGUAACUAGAAUAUGUAGUGUAGCGGUGAAAUGCUUAGAUAUUACAUGGAAUACCAAGUGCGAAGGCAGGUUACGACUAAUGGAUUGACGCUGAUGGACGAAAGCGUGGGUAGCGAACAGG